CGCCUGGAUGUUCAAGCGUCUCAAAUCUGCGGAGAGCCGUAAUGGCGAGAAACAGAUUAAAGCGUGAUGACGUAAGCUGGCAAAUUCCAGGAGUCCGUGAAAAGGGAGCUGAAAGACCGUACCGAGAUCCAACACUGGUGCCCCAAGCUGAGAAGGCUAAGGCGUGUCGGCAUAUGCUAGCUAAGGGAAUUCGGCAAAAUAGCCACGUAACUUCGGGAUAAGUGGUGCCUGCUUUGCAAGAAGCAGGUCGCAGCGACGAGGGGACUCUAACUGUCUAAUAACAACAUAGGUGAUUGCGAAUCCGUAAGGACUAGUACAAUCACUGAAUCCUGCCCAGCGCAGGUACCUGAAAACCCGGUUCAACGGGAAGAAGGGCCUGUCAACGGCGGGGGUAACGAUGACCCUCUUAAGGUAGCGUAGUACCUUGCCGCUUAAUUGGCGGCUUGCAUGAAUGGAUCAAUUAGAGUCCCACUGUCCCUAGCUGGUACCCGGUGAACCUUACGUUCCAGUGCAGAGUCUGGAGACCCCUAAUGGGAAGUGAAGACCCCGUGGAGCUUUACUGCAGCCUGCCGUUGGGUUGUGGUUUUGAUUGUAGAGCAUAGGUAGGAGACGUCGAAGCUCGGGCGCCAGUCCGAGUGGAGUCGCCCUUGGAAUACUACCCUUUCGAAGCUACCGCCCUAACUCUGAGAAGAGGACCUCGGUAGGUGGGCAGUUUGGGUGGGGCGCCACGCCCUUGAAAAGAUAUCAAGGGCGCCCUAAGGUUGACUCAGUUGGGUCGGAAACCCAACAAAGAGUGUAAAGGCAUAAGUCAGCCUGAUGUUACCUCGCAUAGCAAGAGGUGAUAAGACGAAAGUCAGGCUUAGCGAACCUCUCAGCUCUCUUGGUGAGAGCGUUAGAUGACAGAAAAGCUACCCCGGGGAUAACAGAGUCGUCACCGGCAAGAGCACAUAUCGACCCGGUGGCUUGCUACCUCGAUGUCGGUUCUUUCCAUCCUGGCCGUGCAGCAGCGGCCAAGGGUGAGGUUGUUCGCCUAUUAAAGGAGAUCGUGAGCUGGGUUAGACCGUCGUGAGACAGGUCGGUUACUAUCUGUUAGGGGUGUAUUGCGGUCUGAGGGCAGGUUGGUUUUAGUACGAGAGGAACAAGCCAACGGCACCUCUGGUCUAUCGGCUGUCUGGCAAGGCACGCCGAGCAGCUACGUGCUCUCGGAUAAGGGCUGAAAGCAUCUAAGCCCGAAACCGUCCCUGAAAAGAGACCGCUUAGAGUACUCGUAAAAGACGAGUUUGAUAGAGCUGGUGUGUAAGCACCAAGGCAACGAGGUGUUCAGCUCGCAGUUACUAACAACUCCGCU
rnacentral:rRNA from 1 species